rnacentral:rRNA from 1 species
CAAUAGCGUAUAUUUAAGUUGUUGCAGUUAAAAAGCUCGUAGUUGGAUUUCGGUUAAGAGCGACCGGUCCGCCGUUUGGUGUGCACUGGUUGGUUUUAACUUCCUGUAGAGGACGUGCUCUGGGUUUAACGACCUGGACUCGGAGUCUACGUGGUUACUUUGAAAAAAUUAGAGUGUUCAAAGCGGGCUUACGCUUGAAUAUUUCAGCAUGGAAUAACACUAUAGGACUCCUGUCCUAUUUCGUUGGUCUCGGGACGGGAGUAAUGAUUAAGAGGAACAGUUGGGGGCAUUCGUACUUCAUUGUCAGAGGUGAAAUUCUUGGAUUUAUGAAAGACGAACUUCUGCGAAAGCAUUUGCCAAGGAUGUUUUCAUUA